rnacentral:rRNA from 1 species
GAUGAACGCUGGCGGCGUGCUUAACACAUGCAAGUCGAACGGUGAAGCCAAGCUUGCUUGGUGGAUCAGUGGCGAACGGGUGAGUAACACGUGAGCAACCUGCCCUGGACUCUGGGAUAAGCGCUGGAAACGGCGUCUAAUACUGGAUAUGAGCCUCUUCCGCAUGGUGGGGGUUGGAAAGAUUUUUUGGUCUGGGAUGGGCUCGCGGCCUAUCAGCUUGUUGGUGAGGUAAUGGCUCACCAAGGCGUCGACGGGUAGCCGGCCUGAGAGGGUGACCGGCCACACUGGGACUGAGACACGGCCCAGACUCCUACGGGAGGCAGCAGUGGGGAAUAUUGCACAAUGGGCGAAAGCCUGAUGCAGCAACGCCGCGUGAGGGAUGACGGCCUUCGGGUUGUAAACCUCUUUUAGCAGGGAAGAAGCGAAAGUGACGAUACCUGCAGAAAAAGCGCCGGCUAACUACGUG